GGUCCUACGGGAGGCAGCAGUAGGGAAUCUUCCACAAUGGGCGAAAGCCUGAUGGAGCAACGCCGCGUGAGUGAAGAAGUAUUUCGGUAUGUAAAGCUCUAUCAGCAGGGAAGAAAAUGACGGUACCUGACUAAGAAGCCCCGGCUAACUACGUGCCAGCAGCCGCGGUAAUACGUAGGGGGCAAGCGUUAUCCGGAUUUACUGGGUGUAAAGGGAGCGUAGACGGCAUGGCAAGUCAGAUGUGAAAGCCCGGGGCUCAACCCCGGGACUGCAUUUGAAACUGUCAGGCUGGAGUGCAGGAGAGG
rnacentral:rRNA from 1 species